UGAGGAAUCUUCCACAAUGGGGGCAACCCUGAUGGAGCAACGCCGCGUGCAGGAUGAAGGCUCUCGGGUCGUAAACUGCUUUUAUGAGCGAAGAAUAUGACGGUAACUCAUGAAUAAGGGUCGGCUAACUACGUGCCAGCAGCCGCGGUCAUACGUAGGACCCAAGCGUUAUCCGGAGUGACUGGGCGUAAAGAGUUGCGUAGGCGGUCGGUAAAGCGAAUAGUGAAAGCGUGUGGCUCAACCACAUAUCCAUUGUUCGAACUCACCGACUCGAGAGUGGUAGAGGUAGCUGGAAUUUCGUGUGUAGGAGUGAAAUCCGUAGAUAUACGAAGGAACACCAAUGGCGUAGGCAGGCUACUGGACCAUUUCUGACGCUGAGGCACGAAAGCGUGGGGAGCGA
rnacentral:rRNA from 1 species